CACAGACAUGCAGCGCAGAUUUUGACAUGUCGAAGUGUAUUUUUAGUAAAACGUGAAAAUUGUGCGUUUUGCGCUAAAUGUUUGUCUUAAGUUCUGUGCGUCACUACUGCCGAUUAUUGUCAAGUCAUUCAAUAAGAGCUACUAGCCAAUCCUAGAGCAAGAGGCGGGAUUUGACGGGAAACAGGCCGAUAUGUGUAACUGCAGGCGUGGGCAGCGUUAGCGGGUGCCUCUAUCCGGAUACGUCUCUCCUGUAACACCAAAUAGGGACAGAACCAUGAGGGCCAUUUUGUAUUUGGCGGAAGAUGAGUUAUGUAACCUUGUAAAAGCAACAGAAUAUUCACCCACUUUAAAUAUGUUAAUGUUUGCAUAAAUAUGUACAGCCUACAAUAUGUACAGCCAUAUUUAGAAAUAUUGGCACCCUCCAAAGGAAAUGGGUUAUAUUAUUGUAUUUUUUUAUUACAGAUUUAAAUUGAGAUUUUAUUGUCAUGCUACAGCUUACACAGGAUUAAAAAGUAUAAAAGAGGCAGGACGAGUGGGUACAGCUGAGCGACAGUGCUGCGCGUAUCCAUGGAGACGGUGACACUGCGCAGCUGCAGGCGCUGAUGAACGGAACUGCGCAGACCCGGGAGGAGAACCUCACUCUUCC